UACGGAGGGUGCAAACGUUGCUCGGAAUCAUUGGGCGUAAAGCGCACGUAGGCGGCCUGAUAAGUCGGGUGUGAAAGCCCUGGGCUCAACCCAGGAAGUGCACUCGGAACUGUCAGGCUUGAAUAUGGAAGAGGGUCGCGGAAUUCCCGGUGUAGAGGUGAAAUUCGUAGAUAUCGGGAGGAACACCAGUGGCGAAGGCGGCGACCUGGGCCAAUAUUGACGCUGAGGUGCGAAAGCGUGGGGAGCAAACAGG
rnacentral:rRNA from 1 species